rnacentral:rRNA from 1 species
GAUGAACGCUGGCGGCGUGCCUAAUACAUGCAAGUCGAGCGAACGGACGAGAAGCUUGCUUUUCUGAUGUUAGCGGCGGACGGGUGAGUAACACGUGGAUAACCUACCUAUAAGACUGGGAUAACUUCGGGAAACCGGAGCUAAUACCGGAUAAUAUUUUGAACCGCAUGGUUCAAAAGUGAAAGACGGUCUUGCUGUCACUUAUAGAUGGAUCCGCGCUGCAUUAGCUAGUUGGUAAGGUAACGGCUUACCAAGGCAACGAUGCAUAGCCGACCUGGGAGGGUGAUCGACCACACUGGAACUGAGACACGGUCCAGACUCCUACGGGAGGCAGCAGUAGGGAAUCUUGCGCAAUGGGCGAAAGCCUGACGGAGCAACGCCGCGUGAGUGAUGAAGGUCUUCGGAUCGUAAAACUCUGUUAUUAGGGAAGAACAGAUGUGUAAGUAACUGUGCACAUCUUGACGGUACCUAAUCAGAAAGCCACGGCUAACUACGUG